rnacentral:lncRNA from 1 species
ACUUUUCAGAUGGUGUUUUAUAAACAACUAUAGUAUAUGAAUACUAAGUUAUAUUAUAAACACAAGUUAUAUUAUAGAGUAAAUGACCAGAUAACUGGAUAUAUUGAUAAGCAAGUAAAUGACCAGAUAACUGGAUAUAUUGAUAAGCAAGUAAAUGACCAGAUAACUGGAUAUAUUGAUAAGCAAGUAAAUGACCAGAUAACUGAAUAUAUUGAUAAACAAGUAAAUGACCAGAUAAUUGGAUAUAUAUAUGAUAAGUAAAUGCUUGAACAAAUAUAUGAAUAAAGAUUUAAAGCAAUGAAUAUAACCUCAGAUAGUUGACCAGAUAACUGGAUGAGAGAUCUGCGUAAAGUAGUCAACCUCUGUAUUUAACCAGAUAACUGAAAGAGGGAUCCUUUUCAAUUAAGUGUUGUUUAGUUAUUUUUAGAUGAAAGAUAAAAACUAGAGUUAACAAAGAACAACACAAGAGAUUUAUACUGGUUCACCCAAACAAGGGCUAGUCUAGUCCCGACCAACUGUCGGAAUUCACUCGCCUAAAGGUUAUGGCAAAACCUUAGAGUAUCAAGGAAACUCUUAAGAACCUCUCUAAGCUUUAAGGCUACUUCGCUUAGAAACCAGUCUUUUACGGGUAGACUCACACCUUAGAGUAUCAAGGGCACUCUUAAGAACCUCUAACUUUUGCGGGUAAAUUAGUACCUUAGAGUAUCAAGGAACUCUUAAAAACCUCUCUAAGCUUUAAAGCUACUUCGCUUAGGAACCAACCUUUUACGGGUAGACUCACACCUUAGAGUAUCAAGGGCACUCUUAAGAACCUCUAACUUUUACGGGUAAGUUAGUACCUUAGAGUAUCAAGGAACUCUUAAAAACCUAAAAAUCUUUCAAGGUAGAUUCGACCUAAGAGUUUUCCCGGAAACUCUAUAAAACCAAACUAAAGCUUUAUGGUUGAGCUCGAAAACCUUCUCUCACACUUUGGUACUAUUGAGACAACCCUCUCAACCAAAGUGGACACACACAAGAGGUGAUUAGAGGAGUGAAAUAUUAAAGCAAACAACACUUCUUACUUGUAAAGAUGAACAAGAAGAUUAGAAGAAGAAGUUGGAGAGCUUUUGAAGCUUUGGAAAGUUAGGACACUUGAGCACUUGAAAGCUUAGAGGCAAAAACGUGUGGGCAAAUGUGGAGUGAAAGCUCUUGAGUUUGCU